UUAAGCGACUAAGCGUACACGGUGGAUGCCCUGGCAGUCAGAGGCGAUGAAGGACGUGCUAAUCUGCGAAAAGCGUCGGUAAGGUGAUAUGAACCGUUAUAACCGGCGAUGUCCGAAUGGGGAAACCCAGUGUGAUUCGUCACACUAUCGUUAACUGAAUACAUAGGUUAACGAGGCGAACCGGGGGAACUGAAACAUCUAAGUACCCCGAGGAAAAGAAAUCAACCGAGAUUCCCCCAGUAGCGGCGAGCGAACGGGGAGCAGCCCAGAGUCUGAAUCAGCUUGUGUGUUAGUGGAACGGUCUGGAAAGUCCGACGGUACAGGGUGAUAGUCCCGUACACCAAAAUGCACAGGUUGUGAACUCGAAGAGUAGGGCGGGACACGUGGUAUCCUGUCUGAAUAUGGGGGGACCAUCCUCCAAGGCUAAAUACUCCUGACUGACCGAUAGUGAACCAGUACCGUGAGGGAAAGGCGAAAAGAACCCCGGCGAGGGGAGUGAAAAAGAACCUGAAACCGUGUACGUACAAGCAGUGGGAGCACCUUCGGGUGUGACUGCGUACCUUUUGUAUAAUGGGUCAGCGACUUAUAUUCUGUAGCAAGGUUAACCGUAUAGGGGAGCCGCAGGGAAACCGAGUCUUAACUGGGCGUUAAGUUGCAGGGUAUAGACCCGAAACCCGGUGAUCUAGCCAUGGGCAGGUUGAAGGUUGGGUAACACUAACUGGAGGACCGAACCGACUAAUGUUGAAAAAUUAGCGGAUGACUUGUGGCUGGGGGUGAAAGGCCAAUCAAACCGGGAGAUAGCUGGUUCUCCCCGAAAGCUAUUUAGGUAGCGCCUCGUGAACUCAUCUUCGGGGGUAGAGCACUGUUUCGGCUAGGGGGUCAUCCCGACUUACCAACCCGAUGCAAACUACGAAUACCGAAGAAUGUUAUCACGGGAGACACACGGCGGGUGCUAACGUCCGUCGUGAAGAGGGAAACAACCCAGACCGCCAGCUAAGGUCCCAAAGUCAUGGUUAAGUGGGAAACGAUGUGGGAAGGCACAGACAGCCAGGAUGUUGGCUUAGAAGCAGCCAUCAUUUAAAGAAAGCGUAAUAGCUCACUGGUCGAGUCGGCCUGCGCGGAAGAUGUAACGGGGCUAAACCAUGCACCGAAGCUGCGGCAGCGACACUAUGUGUUGUUGGGUAGGGGAGCGUUCUGUAAGCCUGCGAAGGUGUGCUGUGAGGCAUGCUGGAGGUAUCAGAAGUGCGAAUGCUGACAUAAGUAACGAUAAAGCGGGUGAAAAGCCCGCUCGCCGGAAGACCAAGGGUUCCUGUCCAACGUUAAUCGGGGCAGGGUGAGUCGACCCCUAAGGCGAGGCCGAAAGGCGUAGUCGAUGGGAAACAGGUUAAUAUUCCUGUACUUGGUGUUACUGCGAAGGGGGGACGGAGAAGGCUAUGUUAGCCGGGCGACGGUUGUCCCGGUUUAAGCAUGUAGGCUGGUUGUCCAGGCAAAUCCGGAUAAUCAAGGCUGAGGUGUGAUGACGAGGCACUACGGUGCUGAAGUAACAAAUGCCCUGCUUCCAGGAAAAGCCUCUAAGCAUCAGGUAACAUCAAAUCGUACCCCAAACCGACACAGGUGGUCAGGUAGAGAAUACCAAGGCGCUUGAGAGAACUCGGGUGAAGGAACUAGGCAAAAUGGUGCCGUAACUUCGGGAGAAGGCACGCUGGUGUGUAGGUGAAGCCCCUGCGGGUGGAGCUGAGACCAGUCGAAGAUACCAGCUGGCUGCAACUGUUUAUUAAAAACACAGCACUGUGCAAACACGAAAGUGGACGUAUACGGUGUGACGCCUGCCCGGUGCCGGAAGGUUAAUUGAUGGGGUUAUCCGUAAGGAGAAGCUCUUGAUCGAAGCCCCGGUAAACGGCGGCCGUAACUAUAACGGUCCUAAGGUAGCGAAAUUCCUUGUCGGGUAAGUUCCGACCUGCACGAAUGGCGUAAUGAUGGCCAGGCUGUCUCCACCCGAGACUCAGUGAAAUUGAACUCGCUGUGAAGAUGCAGUGUACCCGCGGCAAGACGGAAAGACCCCGUGAACCUUUACUAUAGCUUGACACUGAACAUUGAGCCUUGAUGUGUAGGAUAGGUGGGAGGCUUUGAAGCGUGGACGCCAGUCUGCGUGGAGCCAACCUUGAAAUACCACCCUUUAAUGUUUGAUGUUCUAACGUUGGCCCCUGACCGGGGUUGCGGACAGUGUCUGGUGGGUAGUUUGACUGGGGCGGUCUCCUCCCAAAGCGUAACGGAGGAGCACGAAGGUUAGCUAAUCCUGGUCGGACAUCAGGAGGUUAGUGCAAUGGCAUAAGCUAGCUUGACUGCGAGCGUGACGGCGCGAGCAGGUGCGAAAGCAGGUCAUAGUGAUCCGGUGGUUCUGAAUGGAAGGGCCAUCGCUCAACGGAUAAAAGGUACUCCGGGGAUAACAGGCUGAUACCGCCCAAGAGUUCAUAUCGACGGCGGUGUUUGGCACCUCGAUGUCGGCUCAUCACAUCCUGGGGCUGAAGUAGGUCCCAAGGGUAUGGCUGUUCGCCAUUUAAAGUGGUACGCGAGCUGGGUUUAGAACGUCGUGAGACAGUUCGGUCCCUAUCUGCCGUGGGCGCUGGAGAAUUGAGGGGGGCUGCUCCUAGUACGAGAGGACCGGAGUGGACGCAUCACUGGUGUUCGGGUUGUCAUGCCAAUGGCACUGCCCGGUAGCUAAAUGCGGAAGAGAUAAGUGCUGAAAGCAUCUAAGCACGAAACUUGCCCCGAGAUGAGUUCUCCCUGAGACUUUAAGUCUCCUGAAGGAACGUUGAAGACGACGACGUUGAUAGGCCGGGUGUGUAAGCGCAGCGAUGCGUUGAGCUAACCGGUACUAAUGAACCGUGAGGCUUAACCU
rnacentral:rRNA from 1 species